GACGAACGCUGGCGGCGUGCUUAACACAUGCAAGUCGAACGGAAAGGCCCUGCUUUUGUGGGGUGCUCGAGUGGCGAACGGGUGAGUAACACGUGAGUAACCUGCCCUUGACUUUGGGAUAACUUCAGGAAACUGGGGCUAAUACCGGAUAGGAGCUCCUGCUGCAUGGUGGGGGUUGGAAAGUUUCGGCGGUUGGGGAUGGACUCGCGGCUUAUCAGCUUGUUGGUGGGGUAGUGGCUUACCAAGGCUUUGACGGGUAGCCGGCCUGAGAGGGUGACCGGCCACAUUGGGACUGAGAUACGGCCCAGACUCCUACGGGAGGCAGCAGGGGGGAAUAUUGCACAAUGGGCGGAAGCCUGAUGCAGCAACGCCGCGUGCGGGAUGACGGCCUUCGGGUUGUAAACCGCUUUCGCCUGUGACGAAGCGUGAGUGACGGUAAUGGGUAAAGAAGCACCGGCCAACUACGUG
rnacentral:rRNA from 1 species